rnacentral:rRNA from 1 species
GACGAACGCUGGCGGCGUGCCUAAUACAUGCAAGUAGAACGCACAGGAUGCACCGUAGUUUACUACACCGUAUUCUGUGAGUUGCGAACGGGUGAGUAACGCGUAGGUAACCUGCCUGGUAGCGGGGGAUAACUAUUGGAAACGAUAGCUAAUACCGCAUAAGAACAUUUACUGCAUGGUAGAUGUUUAAAAGGUGCAAAUGCAUCACUACCAGAUGGACCUGCGUUGUAUUAGCUAGUAGGUGAGGUAACGGCUCACCUAGGCGACGAUACAUAGCCGACCUGAGAGGGUGAUCGGCCACACUGGAACUGAGACACGGUCCAGACUCCUACGGGAGGCAGCAGUAGGGAAUCUUCCACAAUGGGUGCAAGCCUGAUGGAGCAAUGCCGCGUGAGUGAAGAAGGACUUCGGUUCGUAAAGCUCUGUUGUUGGGGAAGAACACGGAUAGGAGUCACUGCCUAUCCCUUGACGGUACCCAACCAGAAAGUCACGGCUAACUACGUGCCAGCAGCCGCGGUAAUACGUAGGUGACAAGCGUUGUCCGGAUUUAUUGGGCGUAAAGCGAGCGCAGGCGGUCCGGUAAGUCUGAUGUGAAAGCCCACGGCUCAACCGUGGAACGGCAUUGGAAACUGGCGGACUUGAAUGUAGCAGAGGAAAGUGGAAUUCCAUGUGUAGCGGUGGAAUGCGUAGAUAUAUGGAGGAACACCAGUGGCGAAAGCGACUUUCUGGGCUAUGAUUGACGCUGAGGCUCGAAAGCGUGGGGAGCGAACAGGAUUAGAUACCCUGGUAGUCCACGCCGUAAACGAUGAGUGCUAAGUGUUGGAGGGUUUCCGCCCUUCAGUGCUGGAGUUAACGCAUUAAGCACUCCGCCUGGGGAUUACGACCGCAAGGUUGAAACUCAAAAGAAUUGACGGGGACCCGCACAAGCGGUGGAGCAUGUGGUUUAAUUCGAAGCAACGCGAAGAACCUUACCAGCUCUUGACAUCUUCUGCCACCUUCAGAGAUGAAGGGUUCCCUUCGGGGACAGAAUGACAGGUGGUGCAUGGUUGUCGUCAGCUCGUGUCGUGAGAUGUUGGGUUAAGUCCCGUAACGAGCGCAACCCUUAUUGUUAGUUGCCAGCAUUGAGUUGGGCACUCUAGCAAGACUGCCGGUGAUAAACCGGAGGAAGGCGGGGAUGACGUCAAAUCAUCAUGCCCCUUAUGAGCUGGGCUACACACGUGCUACAAUGGAUGGUACAACGAGUGGCGAGACCGCGAGGUUUAGCUAAUCUCCCAAAGCCAUCCUCAGUUCGGAUUGCAGGCUGCAACUCGCCUGCAUGAAGUCGGAAUCGCUAGUAAUCGCGGAUCAGAAUGCCGCGGUGAAUUCGUUCCCGGGUCU